UACAGAGGUCUCAAGCGUUGUUCGGAUUUAUUGGGCGUAAAGAGCUCGUAGGCGGUGUGUCACGUCGGCCGUGAAAACCUGCAGCUUAACUGUGGGCGUGCGGUCGAUACGGGCAUCACUGGAGUUCGGCAGGGGAGACUGGAAUUCCUGGUGUAGCGGUGAAAUGCGCAGAUAUCAGGAGGAACACCGGUGGCGAAGGCGGCGCUCUGGACCGAGACUGACGCUGAGGCGCGAAAGCGUGGGGAGCAAACAGG
rnacentral:rRNA from 1 species